CAAGACAACCGGGAUUGCCUCAGUAACGGCGAGUGAAGCGGCAAGAGCUCAAAUUUGAAAUCUGGCCCCUCCGGGGUCCGAGUUGUAAUUUGCAGAGGAUGCUUCGGGUGCGGCCCCUGUCUAAGUGCCCUGGAACGGGCCGUCAGAGAGGGUGAGAAUCCCGUCUUGGGCAGGGUGCCCGUGCCCGUGUGAAGCUCCUUCGACGAGUCGAGUUGUUUGGGAAUGCAGCUCUAAAUGGGUGGUAAAUUUCAUCUAAAGCUAAAUACCGGCCGGAGACCGAUAGCGCACAAGUAGAGUGAUCGAAAGAUGAAAAGCACUUUGAAAAGAGAGUUAAACAGCACGUGAAAUUGUUGAAAGGGAAGCGCUUGCGACCAGACUCGGCCCUGGGGUUCAGCCAGCACUCGUGCUGGUGUACUUCCCCAGGGGCGGGCCAGCGUCGGUUUGGGCGGCCGGUCAAAGGCCCCAGGAAUGUAUCGCCCUCCGGGGUUGUCUUAUAGCCUGGGGUGCAAUGCGGCCAGCCCGGACCGAGGAACGCGCUUCGGCACGGACGCUGGCGUAAUGGUCGCAAACGACCCGUCUUGAAACACGGACCAAGGAGUCUAACAUCUACGCGAGUGUUCGGGUGUCAAACCCGUACGCGCAGUGAAAGCGAACGGAGGUGGGAGCCCCCCCGGGGCGCACCAUCGACCGAUCCUGAUGUCUUCGGAUGGAUUUGAGUAAGAGCGUAGCUGUGGGGACCCGAAAGAUGGUGAACUAUGCCUGAAUAGGGCGAAGCCAGAGGAAACUCUGGUGGAGGCUCGCAGCGGUUCUGACGUGCAAAUCGAUCGUCAAAUUUGGGUAUAGGGGCGAAAGACUAAUCGAACCAUCUGGUAGCUGGUUCCUGCCGAAGUUUCCCUCAGGAUAGCAGUAACGCGGAUCAGUUUUAUGAGGUAAAGCGAAUGAUUAGAGGCAUUGGGGUUGAAACAACCUUAACCUAUUCUCAAACUUUAAAUAUGUAAGAAGCCCUUGUUUCUUAGUUGAACGUGGGCAUUAGAAUGGAGCGUUACUAGUGGGCCAUUUUUGGUAAGCAGAACUGGCGAUGCGGGAUGAACCGAACGCGAGGUUAAGGUGCCGGAAUGCACGCUCAUCAGACACCACAAAAGGUGUUAGUUCAUCUAGACAGCCCGACGGUGGCCAUGGAAGUCGGAAUCCGCUAAGGAGUGUGUAACAACUCACGGGCCGAAUGAACUAGCCCUGAAAAUGGAUGGCGCUCAAGCGUGCUACCCAUACCUCGCCGUCGGGGUAGAAACGAUGCCCCGACGAGUAGGCAGGCGUGGGGGU
rnacentral:rRNA from 2 species